rnacentral:rRNA from 1 species
CCUACGGGUGGCUGCAGUGGGGAAUAUUGGACAAUGGGCGCAAGCCUGAUCCAGCCAUGCCGCGUGAGUGAUGAAGGUCUUAGGAUUGUAAAGCUCUUUCACCGAUGAAGAUAAUGACGGUAGUCGGAGAAGAAGCCCCGGCUAACUUCGUGCCAGCAGCCGCGGUAAUACGAAGGGGGCUAGCGUUGUUCGGAAUUACUGGGCGUAAAGCGCACGUAGGCGGAUAUUUAAGUCAGGGGUGAAAUCCCGCAGCUCAACUGCGGAACUGCCUUUGAUACUGGGUAUCUCGAGUAUGGAAGAGGUGAGUGGAAUUCCGAGUGUAGAGGUGAAAUUCGUAGAUAUUCGGAGGAACACCAGUGGCGAAGGCGGCUCACUGGUCCAUUACUGACGCUGAGGUGCGAAAGCGUGGGGAGCAAACAGGAUUAGAUACCCCUGUAGUC